rnacentral:lncRNA from 1 species
GUCCCUUAUAGGGUCUGUUAUAGGGUCCCUUAUAGGGUCUGUUAUAGGGUCUGUUAUAGGGUCCCUUAUAGGGCCAGUUAUGGGGUUCCUUAUAGGGUCUGUUAUGGGGUCCCUUAUAGGACUCCUUAUAGGGUCCCUUAUAGGGCCGGUUAUGGGGUCUGUUGUUAUAGGGUCCCUUAUAGGGUCCCCUAUAGGGUCUCACCCCACACUGCUGGCUGUGGGGUCCCCUAUAGGGUUCCUUAUAGGGUCCCUUAUAGGGUUCCAUAUAGGGUCCCUUAUAGGGUCUGUUAUAGGGUCCCUUAUAGGGUCUGUUAUAGGGUCCCUUAUAGGGUCAGUUAUAGGGUCCCUUAUAGGGUUCCUUAUAGGGCUGGUUAUAGGGUCCCUUAUAGGGUCCCUUAUAGGGUCUGUUAUAGGGUCCCUUAUAGAAUCUGUUAUAGAGUCCCUUAUAGGGUCUGUUAUGGGGUCUGUUGUUAUAUAGGGUUCCUUAUAGGGUCCCCUAUAGGGUCUCACCCCACACUGCUGGCUAUGGGGUCCCCUAUGGGUCUGGUUAUGGGGUAUAUUAUAGGGUUCCUUAUAGGGCCCCUUAUAGGGUCCCUUAUAGGGUCCCUUAUAGGGUCACUUAUAGGGUCUGUUAUAGGGUCCCUUAUAGGGUCUGUUAUAGGGCCAGCUAUAGGGUCUGUUAUAGGGUCUGUUAUAGGGUCCCUUAUAGGGUCUGUUAUAGGGUCCCCUAUAGGGCCGGUUAUAGGGUCUGUUAUAGGGUCCCCUAUAGGGUCUGUUAUAGGGUCCCCUAUAGGGCCGGUUAUGGGGUCCCUUAUAGGGUAUGUUAUAGGGUCCCUUAUAGGGUUCCUUAUAGGGUUCCUUAUAGGGUCCCUUAUAGGGUCUGUUAUAGGGUCCCUUAUAGGGCCGGUUCUGGGGUCCCUUAUAGGGCCGGUUAUGGGGUCUGUUAUGGGGUCUGUUGUUAUAUAGGGUCCCCUAUAGGGCCGGUUAUAGGGUCCCCUAUAGGGUCUCACCCCACACUGCUGGCUGUGGGGUCCCCUAUAGGGCCUUAUAGGGCCGGUUAUGGGGUCUGUUAUGGGGUCUGUUGUUAUAGGGUAUGUUAUAGGGUCCCUUAUAGGGUCUGUUGUUAUAGGGUCCCUUAUAGGGUUCCUUAUAGGGUCCCCUAUAGGGUCUCACCCCACACUCUUGGCUGUCGGUGACUCUGAGCCGGUCGCUGCCGGGUUCCAGCCGUUCCCCAUUGGCCGCAAUGAGUUUUAACGGGGGGAUGGCGCCCCCUGCUGGACACCGCCGGGAAACGCUCUGAGUGGCCG